rnacentral:misc_RNA from 1 species
CCAACUGACGUUGUUAGUGAACUUGAUUUUGUUCACAUGUAUAUAAGCCAAUCGCACUCUUUGCGGUUGGCCUUUUUUUU